UCCAAUCUUUCAGAACUGAAG
rnacentral:piRNA from 1 species